GUCGGCGUGCCUAGUUGUUGUGCAGCCGGCACACAACUCUUACUUCGUGCGAUAAGUUAUAAUACUUAAAUGAAUAUUCCUGUUUCGGGGUUGUAAAUUCGUUAUAUUGUGUUAUAUUUGCUGGAAUUUAGUGUUAAUAGACGGGUUUUAGUCGCUAAAUAUUUAUCGCGUGUGUAAUCUGCGGAAUUCAAUGUUUUGUGUGCUUUUUACGUUUCGUCUGCGUCUGGGAUCGGUUGCCGUCGGACGCCAGCCGGCCAUUACAUACACGCAUUGGAUUUACGGUGUUCGAUACACUGUACUUGCUGUGCCCUAGCAAUCCAAUGAGCACUGCAUUG